rnacentral:tRNA from 1 species
UGUCCAGGGGCGGGAAUCGAACCCACAACCUUCUGCUUACCGGGCAGGUGCCAUGUCCACUAGGCUUUAAGGU